GGGGGGGGGGGGGGGGGGGGGUGGGGCGGGCGGGGCGGAGGGGGAGGCCCCGUUGGGGGGACGCGGGUGGCGAACGGGUGCGGCGCACGUGAGUAACCUGCCCUGGGCUUCGGGAUAACUUCAGGACACUGGGGCUAAGACCGGCGAUGCCUCCUUGCUGCAUGUGGGGGGUUUGAAAGCUUCGGCGGUGUUGGAUGGACUCGCGGCUUCUCAGCUUGUUGGUGGGGGAGUGGCUUACCACGGCUUUGACGGGUAGCCCGCCUGAGAGGGCGACCGGCCACAUUGGGACUGAGAUACGGCCCAGACUCCUACGGGAGGCAGCAGUGGGGAAUAUUGCACAAUGGGCGGAAGCCUGAUGCAGCAACGCCGCGUGCGGGAUGACGGCCUUCGGGUUGUAAACCGCUUUCAGCAGGGGCGAAGCUUGUGGUGACGGUACCUGCAGAAGAAGCACCGGCUAACUACGUG
rnacentral:rRNA from 1 species